GGUCCGGUAGCCAAGUGGUAAGGCGAGGGUCUGCAAAACCCUUAUACGUGAGUUCGAUUCUCACCCGGAUCU
rnacentral:tRNA from 1 species